rnacentral:lncRNA from 1 species
AUAAAAUUGAGAUUACAUAUAUAGUAUAUAUAUUUUCCAAAAUAUUGAGGCACCCUCAACCCCCCCUGCUCCGCCACUCCAAGCGAGGUUGGAGGGAUCCCUACCCUUUUUCUAUUACGUGAAGAAAUUCUGUCAACAAUCAGCUGUUGAGGGGUUUCGAUCCCACGACCUCUCCUCAAAGUGACAGGGAUGUAUUACAUGCAAAAAAUGUUGUGGUAAGCCUAUAAGUUGCAACAUCAUCCAUUCCCAUAUGUUUUGGUUCAACUAGAUGAAUGUAAUUCUUCCACUCAUGUUCCAUUAGAACUUAGAAGUCUGAUGUGGGGUCAUAAUAAUUUCAUCUGAAAAGAACAAAAUCAUCAUUUUUUUUAUUUUGAUUGAUUUGAUUUGACAUGAAUCCUUAUGAUCUAGUAAUGGAUAAACAUACUAACACUGGGUGUAAAUUUUGAGUAGAGUAGGCAAACAUGAUUUUCUCAACAAAGUAGGCUUGCAUGUAGAUUACUAAUGGAUGUAGGCAUGUAGACCAUGGAAAAACGAGUAUUUGUAUAUAUAUAUAAUUUUUGAAUAAUCGAGUUAAAUGAUUCUGUUAUUUGUAUAUAUAUAGGAUCAGAAGUGAGCGAGCGAACGGCUGUCUUGUUCAGAAAUUGGAGCUAGGCAUGGAUGUGGUUAUUAAGUUUGGAAUAUUGUAAUUAUAGAAUAGAUUAGAAAAGAACAAUAUUGUAAUCCAGUUACUAGUAUUUAGUUUGGUUAAGAUCUAUGUUAUUAAUUACUUAGGGGAUGAUAGAUGUAUUUGACAUGUAUGUAUGAUGAUGUAUGCAAAAGUUUCAUGGACGGUUAAAAAUUUUGAGUUGGACCAAAGCUGAUUUAAUUAUAGAGAAGUUAAUGGUGAUGAUCUAUGUAGUACCCUGGUUUGUUUGUAGUUUGUACAUGAGG